GGUCAUGAGUGCCAGCGCGAAGCCCCGGCUCGCUGGCCGGCAACCCUCCAACCGCGGUGGGGUGCCCCGGGUGAUGACCUGGCCGACACCAGCAGGUGUGGGCAAGCGCGGGUC
rnacentral:ncRNA from 2 species